ACCUGCUACUUACUGGCUGUACCUUAAGCAGUGCACUUAACCUCUCUGGGCCCCAAUCUUCUCAUCUGCAAAGUGGGUGUCCUCAGUAUCUGCCUCAUAGAGUCAGUAGAGGAUAAGUGAGAUGAUCUCCGUACAACUCUCAGCACAGGUCUGACACACAGUAGGCAUUCAGCAAACUGUGGGAGGAGGAGAAGGGCAGAGGGCUCCCCAAUCACUUCUGCCCACAUCUCAUUGGCCAGAACCGGGUCACAUCACAGGGCCACCUCUAGCUGCAAGAGAAUCUGGGAAGCUGAGCAAUUCAAACCAGGCACACUACUGCCCCCUACACCACUGGGGUUCUGCCGUACAGAAGAGGAGACUGGAUCUUUGGAGACAUUCCAUCUCCAGACAGCCAGAGACGCUCCAGAAUGGAGGUCCUGAGGGAGAAGGUGGAGGAGGAGGAGGAGGCCGAGCGGGAGGAGGCGGCCGAGCGGGCUGAAUGGGCGAGGAUGGAGAAAAUGAUGAGGCCAGUCGAGGUGCGGAAGGAGGAAACCACCUUGAAGCAGGAGACGCUCAGAGACCUGGAGAAGAAGCUGUCGGAGAUCCAGAUCACUGUCUCAGCAGAGCUCCCGGCCUUUACCAAGGACACUAUUGACAUCUCCAAGCUGCCCGUUUCCUACAAAACCAACACACCCAAGGAGGAACACCUGCUGCAGGUGGCAGACAACUUCUCCCGCCAGUACAGCCAUCUGUGCCCAGACCGUGUGCCCCUCUUCCUGCACCCCCUGAACGAGUGUGAAGUGCCCAAGUUCGUGAGCACAACCCUCCGGCCCACACUGAUGCCCUACCCCGAGCUCUACAACUGGGACAGCUGUGCCCAGUUUGUCUCCGACUUCCUCACCAUGGUGCCCCUGCCUGACCCCCUCAAGCCGCCCUCGCACCUGUACUCCUCGACCACUGUGCUCAAGUACCAGAAGGGGAACUGCUUUGACUUCAGUACGCUGCUCUGCUCCAUGCUUAUCGGCUCUGGCUAUGAUGCUUACUGCGUCAACGGCUACGGCUCGCUGGACCUGUGCCACAUGGACCUGACGCGGGAGGUGUGCCCACUCACUGUGAAGCCCAAGGAGACCAUCAAGAAGGAGGAAAAGGUGCUGCCUAAGAAGUAUACCAUCAAACCCCCCAGGGACCUGUGCAGCAGGUUUGAGCAGGAGCAAGAGGUGAAGAAGCAGCAGGAGAUCAGAGCCCAGGAGAAGAAGCGGCUGAGGGAGGAGGAGGAGCGCCUCAUGGAAGCGGAGAAGGCAAAGCCGGAUGCCCUGCACGGCCUGCGGGUGCACUCCUGGGUCCUUGUGCUAUCGGGGAAGCGCGAGGUGCCUGAGAACUUCUUCAUCGACCCAUUCACAGGACAUAGCUACAGCACCCAGGAUGAGCACUUCCUGGGCAUCGAAAGCCUGUGGAACCACAAGAACUACUGGAUCAACAUGCAGGAUUGCUGGAACUGCUGCAAGGACUUGAUCUUUGACCUGGGUGACCCUGUGAGAUGGGAGUACAUGCUCCUGGGGACUGAUAAGUCUCAGCUGUCCUUGACUGAAGAAGACGACAGUGGGAUAAACGAUGAGGAUGAUGUGGAAAAUCUGGGCAAGGAGGAUGAGGAUAAGAGCUUCGACAUGCCCCACUCGUGGGUGGAGCAGAUUGAGAUCUCCCCGGAAGCAUUUGAGACCCGCUGCCCGAACGGGAAGAAGGUGAUUCAGUACAAGAGGGCAAAGCUGGAGAAGUGGGCCCCGUACCUCAAUAGCAAUGGCCUUGUGAGCCGCCUCACCACCUACGAGGACUUGGAGUGUACCAAUAUUUUGGAGAUAAAGGAGUGGUACCAGAACCGGGAAGACAUGCUGGAGCUGAAACACAUAAACAAGACCACAGACCUGAAGACAGACUACUUCAAGCCUGGCCACCCCCAGGCUCUGCGUGUGCACUCGUACAAGUCCAUGCAACCUGAGAUGGACCGUGUCAUUGAGUUUUAUGAAACGGCCCGUGUGGAUGGCCUGAUAAAGCGGGAGGAGACACCCAGGACAAUGACAGAGUACUAUCAAGGACGCCCAGACUUCCUCUCCUACCGCCAUGCCAGCUUCGGACCCCGAGUCAAGAAGCUCACUCUGAGCAGUGCAGAGUCAAACCCCCGGCCCAUUGUGAAAAUCACAGAGCGGUUCUUCCGCAACCCAGCGAAGCCCGCGGAGGAGGACGUGGCAGAGCGCGUGUUUCUGGUCGCGGAGGAGCACAUCCAACUGCGCUACCACUGCCGUGAGGACCACAUCACGGCCUCCAAGCGCGAGUUCCUGCGGCGCACCGAGGUGGACAGUAAAGGCAACAAGAUCAUCAUGACGCCCGACAUGUGCAUCAGCUUCGAGGUGGAGCCCAUGGAGCACACCAAGAAGUUGCUCUAUCAGUACGAGGCCAUGAUGAACCUGAAGAGGGAGGAGAAGCUGUCCAGACAUCAGGUCUGGGAGUCAGAGCUGGAGGUGCUGGAGAUUCUGAAGCUUCGAGAGGAGGAGGAGGCGGCGCACACACUGACCAUCUCCAUCUAUGACACCAAGCGGAAUGAGAAGAGCAAGGAAUAUCGGGAGGCCAUGGAGCGCGUGAUGCACGAAGAGCACCUGCGGCAGGUGGAGACCCAGCUGGACUACCUGGCCCCAUUCCUGGCCCAGCUCCCGCCAGGAGAGAAACUAACACGCUGGCAGGCGGUGCACCUCAAGGAUGAGUGCCUCAGUGACUUCAAGCAGCGGCUCAUCAACAAGGCCAACCUCAUCCAGGCCCGCUUUGAGAAGGAGACCCAGGAGCUGCAAAAGAAGCAGCAGUGGUACCAGGAGAACCAGGUGACGCUGACACCCGAGGAUGAAGACCUGUACCUGAGUUACUGCUCUCAGGCCAUGUUCCGCAUCCGCAUCCUGGAGCAGCGCCUCAAUCGACACAAGGAACUGGCCCCACUGAAGUACCUGGCUCUGGAGGAAAAGCUCUACAAGGACCCACGCCUGGGGGAGCUCCAGAAAAUAUUCGCUUGAUGUCCCUCCUGGGGCCUCAGCCAGAGCUGCCAGAGAAAGGAAACCUCUUCCCGCAGCCUGGCUCCUGUGUUCCCUCUAUCCAGCCAAUGCCUGUUUACACAGACACUUGGCCUCACUGCCAGCCCACCUCCCCUACAGCUCUGUUUGUUCCUGCUUCUCAUGAUUUUCCUGUGCCUUGCGGUGACUCACGCCUGUAAUCCCAGCACUUCGGGAGGCUGAGGCGGGUGGAUCACCUAAGGUCAGGAGUUCAAGACCAGCCUGGCCAAAAUGGAGAAACCCCGUCUCUACUAAAAAUAUAAAAACUAGCCUUAGCCCGUCGUGGUGGCGGGCGCCUGUGGUUCCAGCUACCCAGGAGGCUGAAGCAGGAGAAUCUGAAGCAGAAGGCUGAAGCAGAAGGCAGAGUGGGGACUCCCCCACGCUUUGGCUUUCAGAACAAGGGUUCGAAUUCUGGGCUAUUACUUUCUGACCGUG